rnacentral:ribozyme from 1 species
CCCUACCGAUAGCAUGUACCUUGACGCGGUUGUAGGGCAACUAAUUGGUUGGUUUCGCUAUACUAUCUCUGGUUCAUAUCACUACGAUUUAGUGAAGAACUGAUAUUGAACUUUUCCAAUGAAAAUAAUCUUAUAUCUUGAUUACCAAUGACAAGCAACCAAUUAGACUAAACCAUGC